rnacentral:rRNA from 1 species
UACGGAGGGGGGCUAGCGUUGUUCGGAAUUACUGGGCGUAAAGCGCACGUAGGCGGCUUUGCAAGUUAGAGGUGAAAGCCCGGGGCUUAACCCCGGAAUUGCCUUUAAAACUGCAUCGCUAGAAUUGUGGAGAGGUGAGUGGAAUUCCGAGUGUAGAGGUGAAAUUCGUAGAUAUUCGGAAGAACACCAGUGGCGAAGGCGACUCACUGGACACAUAUUGACGCUGAGGUGCGAAAGCGUGGGGAGCAAACAGG